rnacentral:lncRNA from 1 species
AGGACAUGUAGCAUAGUUGUCUACCUCUUCUUCUGAAGGUGGAACAUAAAAUAAACAGAAGUAGAAAAGUCAAGGAGAAAGAGUUAGCAGACAGGCAGCUGACUUAGCGUGCCAGGAAAGAUAUUUCCUUGCAAGUAACUUGGUUUCAACUCCUUAAUUUCUUAUUCAGCUAAUUCUGAAUGGAAACCAAACAAGCCUUUGCUGAGGCAAGAAUUAAGUCUCGUUAAACCAGACUAGUCUUUGUUUGGUAGGUCAGAACAUAUUCAAACUCUUAUAAAUCUUUCAGCCUUAUGCAUAGUGAUUCAACAUGAAUAAGUGGAUUGAGCUUGCCCCAUACUUGCUUCAUUUCUCACCUAUUAUGUUGCUGCAGAACCAGGUUGCAACCAGCAAAGGAAUCAUCAAUUCAGUCGAUCAAUAUAUGCAACUGUGAAAAGUAACCGCUCAUGUUUAGUCUUUGCAGAGCCCAAGACACUCUACAUCUUCAACUAGGAUAACACAGGACUGCCAGAGGCAGGACACAGAGCAGAGAAAUGCUUGAGGUUUAACACAUUAUGCUUGACACUCUGGCAUCAAGUAAGAUGACUCAACAUUUUAAGGAAUGACUCAACCUGGAAAAGCACAAGAACCACUGAUAUGUCAAGACAUUAUUUCAAGCUCAACUUAAGCAACACAACCUGUCAAAACUGUUCAAAUUAAAUUUGCCACUCUGCAACUAAUCAUUCAUGCUUAGAUUUAGUACUGUUUACAGUUGUAUUGCUUACAGAACUUGUGGCUUCUGCACACAGGAUGGUAAUCUAGAUUGCUGACUAGCAAAAUAAAGGUGAUAGUGAAGUGGUUAGUAGGUUAGGUUCAGUAAAUUGUCUUCAGGUAUAGGCAACUUCCUGAAGAAGCACUGAUCAAGACAUUUGCCACCAAACCAAAGCCAGAAUGGAAUGUUAAUGUUCUCUGAGAAUGAUUGGAUUAGAAAACCUAACACAUCUUCAUGCCAUGAGGAUCUGCAAAGUCUUCUCUCUUAUUCCAGUGGCAUAAAGUAUGAACAUGGUCCCUCAGCAACUUUGGUGAGAUAGAAGGGAUAAAGCAAAGGCAGGAAGGAUUCAGGAAAAGAAGCAGAGUGAAAAUUUAGGAUGACAGGAAAAAAGGCUUCAUUUGAGAGAUCAGAAUCUCCCUUUCUUUCCCGUGACUGUUUCGUUGUACUCUCCUUGGCAAAACACUUAGAAGAGGUAAUGCUGAUCCUUCUUAGUAAACUAAAUAGCUCCAGAACGUAUUCACAAGCACUGAAAUCUGAUAAUCUAUAAUAUUAAACUGUGCAAAUAGGAGGAAUUUGGCUUUGGGUAUCUAGCCAUCACCCAAACUGUUAGCAAAUCUGGAAAAUUCAAGGACCCAUGCAUCCUCCUUGCUUGUGGAGUUAAGGGAGUUCAAUACUGUGGACAUGGGUCAUUCUAUGCCACCUAGUCUCAGUGCCAGAGAAUUAGUUUAAGCAUGUUUAAUUUACUAGUACAGACACAAUUCUUGUUUCCUGAAGCUGUGGUAAUUACCUAAGGAGAUAUAAGCCAGUUUGAGUUAACUUACUGUAUACUUAAUAGUUUUUUGGAAAAGAUAAAGGAUUGAAGAUAAAAGUCUGGGACUUUGCUCAUGCUUGACAUUCUUCUCAGAACUCUGAAGAUAUGUACUAGACUACAAUUUUUAUUUGAAAGUCAUCUGAACAGUUUUGCAAGGUUUCAUCAUCUUGUAUUGUCUGACUGUUGGAAUACACCCACUGAAGUACGAAUCUCCCACAUUUUUUACCUGGAAAAAAUUCUGCACAACCAUUGUAAGGCCUUUUUCCCAAGGCGGCAAAAUCUUAAGCCCAGGAAAGGAAAGCAAGAUUCAUUUCCUUCAAGUGAGGAGCUCUCUGACUUCGAGCUAUCCUUAUGUGUGCUCAUCCAUGUGAGAAGAAGAGGUGAUCUACAGGGACUAUUCAAGUGAGACUGCCCACAGUUCAUGAUGAAGGAAAUCGGUCCAUAUACUUUCUGAAUCCAACAUAUGAAGAUCAUUGCUGUUCAAACUUGGCCCUGACCUUGAGAUACGAGACCUUCCUGUGGGUUGCUGAAGGAGACCCAUAUCGAUGGCAGGAGCUGUAGAGCAUGUUGUCUUGCAGGUAGUACUCCAUAACAUGGCUCCUGGAACAUAUUCACCAAAUGUCUCCACAUCCAUAAAGGACAGCACGGAUGGAAACAUCAUGAGAUAAUGCAAAGAAGGAAACAAAAAAAAAAACAAAAGCAGCAAAAAAAAAAAAAAAAAAAAAAAAGAUUUUUUAAACUUUUUGUUGUUAUUGUUGUAGUUUAAUCUGAAAAGAAACAAUGAAUUUUAAUGAUUUUUUUUCUGGAUAUUGAUCUCUAUAUUACAAUUUUGUGUAAUAAUGAACUUAAGGACAUCCUUAACUUUAAUAAUAUGUGAACUUUCAUUGUUUUCAGCAUGUCACAUGCAAACUGAGCAUGAGAUAGAGAAAUGCCUGCAGAUUCUUAAUGAACAGAGAAUAUACUACUAGCAAAGAGAGAUCUAAAAGAAAGAGAUAAUUUUGUACUAGCAGCAGAAAAACUGAGCUGAAGAACUUCAAACUGAGCAUUUGUCUAAAAUGUGAAAUUAUGUAUCCAGUCUAGCAAGAAAAAUUAUGUUAAAAAAGUUUUUAAAAAAUAAGAAAAAAUAAAUAAAUGAAGAAAUGCAUUCCUAAACUGAAAAAAAAGCUGUUUCAUUUUCCAGCAUUGUCUGAUUAAAAU